GGAAAGUUUUUCGGCCUGGGAUGGGCUCGCGGCCUAUCAGCUUGUUGGUGGGGUGAUGGCCUACCAAGGCGACGACGGGUAGCCGGCCUGAGAGGGCGACCGGCCACACUGGGACUGAGACACGGCCCAGACUCCUACGGGAGGCAGCAGUGGGGAAUAUUGCACAAUGGGCGGAAGCCUGAUGCAGCGACGCCGCGUGAGGGAUGACGGCCUUCGGGUUGUAAACCUCUUUCAGCAGGGACGAAGCGCAAGUGACGGUACCUGCAGAAGAAGCGCCGGCCAACUACGUGCCAGCAGCCGCGGUAAGACGUAGGGCGCGAGCGUUGUCCGGAUUUAUUGGGCGUAAAGAGCUCGUAGGCGGCUUGUCGCGUCGACCGUGAAAACUUGGGGCUCAACCCCAAGCCUGCGGUCGAUACGGGCAGGCUAGAGUUCGGUAGGGGAGACUGGAAUUCCUGGUGUAGCGGUGAAAUGCGCAGAUAUCAGGAGGAACACCGGUGGCGAAGGCGGGUCUCUGGGCCGAUACUGACGCUGAGGA
rnacentral:rRNA from 1 species